rnacentral:rRNA from 1 species
UGAGGAAUAUUGCGCAAUGGGGGCAACCCUGACGCAGCAACGCCGCGUGAGUGAGGAAGGUUUUCGGACCGUAAAGCUCUGUCGAGCGGGAAGAAAUGUAUCGUGGAUAAUAUCCAUGAUAUUUGACGGUACCAUUCAAGAAAGCUCCGGCUAACUACGUGCCAGCAGCCGCGGUGAUACGUAGGGAGCGAGCGUUAUCCGGAUUUAUUGGGCGUAAAGCGUGCGCAGCUGGCUUAUUAAGUAUGAAAUUAAAGCCCGAAGCUUAACUUCGGUUCGUUUCAUAAACUGGUAGGCUUGAGUGUGGUAGAGGUAAGUGGAAUUUCUAGUGUAGCGGUAAAAUGCGUAGAUAUUAGAAGGAACAUCAGUGGCGAAGGCGACUUACUGGGCCAUUACUGACAGUCAUGCACGAAAGCGUGGGGAGCAAAUA